rnacentral:misc_RNA from 1 species
ACUUAUACAUGUGCAAGUUGACCGAUGUGUUAGGGAUAAUCCUUCUGUGGAGAUUUUUUUCUGUUAUUUUUUGACUGUGUGAAAUAUUUAAACAUUCAAAAUUGCACCAUCAAAAGUCGACAUCAUGACGGCGGAUGCCCAACCCGUGCAACCACAAGCCAAAAAGAAGCGGAGAUUGUCCAUGUGCGUGGGAUGUGGUUCUCAGAUUCAUGACCAAUUUAUUUUACGAGUGGCCCCGGAUCUAGAGUGGCAUGCAUCGUGUUUAAAAUGUGCUGAUUGCAACCAAUUCUUGGAUGAAAGUUGCACGUGCUUUGUCCGGGAAGGCAAAACAUAUUGUCGGAAGGACUAUGUCAGGAACUUUGGAGCAAAAUGUUCAAAAUGUAAUAUGUCAUUCGGUAAAAGCGACUUUGUGAUGAGAGCGCGGGAAAAUGUGUAUCAUAUAGACUGCUUCCGGUGUGUAGCUUGCAGUAGACAGUUAAUUCCUGGCGACGAAUUCGCCUUAAAAGACGAUGAACUGUUUUGCAAAGCAGAUCACGAUGUAGUAGAACGAUCCUCACCAACAAAAGAAAACGGAAACGGAAGUAGUGCCGAAGAAGACAGUCCCAAAUCGUCAAAAAUCCGGAAACUGAGCAACAGCAAUAACGACGACAACAAUAAUAAUAGUGACAUUCAAAAAGGAGGAUUACAUCUAGCGGGCCGGGUAGAACAAGUCUCGACGAAAUCUAACGGCAUGCGGGGUCAUCUACACAAAUCGGAACAAAAGCCCACCCGGGUUCGAACAGUACUUAACGAAAAACAGCUGCACACCCUGCGAACAUGUUACAAUGCUAACCCCCGACCGGACGCCCUCAUGAAAGAACAGUUAGUAGAAAUGACUGGGCUAAGCCCGAGGGUGAUACGAGUGUGGUUUCAAAACAAGCGUUGUAAGGAUAAAAAACGAAGCAUCAUGAUGAAGCAGAUCCAGCAGCAGCAACAGGAAAAGAAUGGAGGAAGAUUACACGGUCCGCUCCAGGGAGUCCCGAUGGUGGCCUCCAGCCCCGUGCGACACGAAAGCCCGAUGCAAGCCAAUCCAGUCGAGGUCCAAAGUUACCAGCCGCCCUGGAAAGCACUCAGCGAGUUUGCAAUGCAGAGCGAAUUAGAGCAUCCACCAUUUCAACAACUGGUGAGCAGUUUUGUCUGUGACGUCAGUCAUGACGAUGAUGACGAUGAUCAUGUCGUCUGCUAUGACCAGUGCUGAUUGGUCCGAAAGAUAAUCACAUGAUUUGACCCAUCAACUCACGAUGAAUUCCUUUGAUACCAUAGACUCCGACGACACCUCAUCCUACCAUAACGACGGAUACACAGAGACCUACGGUCACGCGUGGAUAAACGGAGAUCUCGACGGAAACUGUUCCGAUUCAGACUUUCCCGGAACACCUUCGGAAAUGUCGAGUCCGCUCAGCCAAUAAUAUUACAGAAAUUUGAUGUUUAAAUUGAUGGAGAAACUGUGACAUUUCCUCAGAAUUCCAAACUACACAAAAACAAUCCAGACGAAAUACACGGAGGCUUGAGUCUCAUUCAGGGAAAGACUGCUUAUUUUGUAAUGUCGGAUCAUGUGAUGUGACACGUGUUUCCCGCCAUUUUUACACUACUGAAUAUCUAUGCUCAGAGAUUUUUUUGUAAUUCUAGAUGUUGUGACUACUUGUGUGCGCUUUCGUAUCAAACUUUGUAAAUAAACAGAAAAUAAACACAAUUUAAGUUCAAUGUAGCAGUACAAGCAGCAUAACCUAUUUUACGACAACCGAAUACCUGCUUUAUUUCAUUACAUGUAUACAUGUGACGCAAACUUCCUGUCGGAUUAUUAACUCACUCACCCCCGUUACAGGGGUCAAGCGUUAAUUAUACAAAGACCUUUAGCUGUACAGGUAUAUAAACUGUAUUUCAGAUUUUUAUUUAUUAUCAUUAUUUAUUUAUUAAACAAUGCAUGUAAC